rnacentral:sRNA from 1 species
UUCAACAAGAACCGCGCACACAAACGCCU